rnacentral:lncRNA from 1 species
GGAAAAGCCAACACCAUGGUAGCAUUAAUGAAAGUUUACCAAGAGGAAGAUGAAGCCUACCAGGAAUUAGUUACCGUGGCAACCACGUUCUUCCAGUACUUAUUGCGGCCAUUUAGGGCUAUGCGAGAAGUUGCAACUUUAUAAGUCCUUGGAUGAGGAUGACCUAGGUCCUAGAAGGGUAGUUGCCCUGGAGAAAGAAGCUGAAGAAUGGACCAGACGGGCUGGAGAAGCUGUCGUCUCUAUUCAAGAUAUCACAGUGAAUUAUUUUAAGGAGACAGUAAAAGCAUUAGCAGGAGUUUCUGAUAUAUUGCACAGAAUCAACAAGAUAUAAAGCAGAAUGAUGAUCCUGGUUUUUUGGUCAAACUAUCCAUAUGAGCCUGUCUGUCUAGCUAGUCAUAGAAACAAUAUGGAAGCAAGUGUGCCAAAAUAUAAGAAGCAGUUGCCUCAACUAGGAAUGCAAAAAGAAAUGGAACAGGAUGUGAAGAGACUUGGCCAGGCUGCCUGGGCCACAGCAAUUCCCAGGUUGGAAAAACUUAAGCUAAUGCUAGCUCAAGAGACUCUGCAACUCAUGAGAGCGAAAGAAUUGUAUUUAAAUUGCAAAAGAGCUGAAAUUCAGGGAAAGAUGGAAGAUCUUCCAGAACAAGAAAAAAAUAUAAAUGUUGUAGAUGAAUUAGAAAUACAAUUUUAUGAAAUUCAGUUAGAACUAUAUGAAGUUAAAUUUGAGAUAUUAAAAAACAAAGAAAUACUGCUUACUACACAGUUGGACUCUCUUGAAAGACUUAUAAAAGAAAAACAGGAUGAAGUUGUCUAUUACGAUCCAUGUGAAAGUCCAGAGGAACUUAGUCAUUGACUGUGGUGGGGCUGCAGGACGAUAAGAAUUCGGAAGUGAAAGAACUCAGAAGGCAGUGCCAGCAGCUGGAGUCUAUUAAACGGGGCAGGAUCUGUGUCAAAAGAGCUUCUCUCCAGAGUAGAAAGGAUCAGUGCAAAGAAAAUCAUUGGCUCAGAUUGCAACAGGCUGAAGAAAGCAUAAGAUAUUCUCGUCAGCAUCACAGUAUUCAGAUGAAAAGAGACAAGAUAAAAAGGAGCAAAAGAAAAAAGAAUGGGUCAACCAAGAACGUCAAACACUCCAACGAUUGAGAGCAUUUAAAGAUGUAAGUUCUAUAAACAAUCACCUCAUCUACACUUCUGGGGAAAUAAAUGAAGACCGCUCUAAAGAGGAAAGUAUUAAGAACAGGUCAUUCAGAACAUGAAACAUUUAAAAAAUAACAUUAUUUCUGGUAUAUCAAUAAAAAGCAACAACAAAAAUAGAAUAUCAGUGAUUCAAAACCCAUGAUAUAAAAUAACUGCUGUUUUUAACAUCACAACACGCUUGGGUUCCUGCUCUGCACUCUUCACUGAGUAGUCCUUACUGGCACUGGUGGUUUAGAUUGGCAGGGAAAACUGAAAACUGUUCAACUCCCUUGACUUUAGCUGGCAUUUCCUCUCAUUUGUAAUAAACAAUUCUUUAAAAUGUUAUCCAGG